rnacentral:rRNA from 1 species
GACGAACGCUGGCGGCGUGCCUAAUACAUGCAAGUCGAACGCAGUGGGGACGGGUGAGUAACACGUGGGUAACCUCCCCUCAGAGGGGAUAACACUUGGAAACAGGUGCUAAACCGAUACUGAUGGAUGGACCCGCGGUGCAUUAGCUAGUUGGUGGGGUACCGGCUAACCAAGGCCACGAUGCAUAGCCGACCUGAGAGGGUGAUCGGCCACACUGGGACUGAGACACGGCCCAGACUCCUACGGGAGGCAGCAGUAGGGAAUCUUGCGCAAUGGACGAAAGUCUGACCGAGCAAUGCCGCGUGAGUGAAGAAGGUUUUCGGAUCGUAAAGCUCUGUUGGUAGAGAAGCGGUACCUAAACAGAAAGCCACGGCUAACUACGUGCCAGCAGCCGCGGUAAUAC